rnacentral:misc_RNA from 1 species
ACUUUAGACAUGACGAAUAACCCUUAUUGAACACAUGCACUAUGCACACUGGUGCACACCAGGAAGGUCGAUCGAAGGAGAAACAUAUCCAGCCAUUACCUGAAGCUAGAGGGAACUAAAUGGCGCCCAACGCAAGAACUGCGAAUAUCAAGAUGUUAAAUGAACUGAGAAUUCGAAGUUUCUUGGCCUCUAAAAUGAUGUACGAACAGUCAACCAGAUACAAUAACUAUGCUUUUUGGAACAGUGAUGUUAGCUAGUGGUCUUAUGGCCUUUGCUGGUGCUAAACUAACCGUGGGUGUUUAUCAGAACAUAUGGGAUUCAGCACCUAAAAUAAUCAUCGGGCUGGUCACUGGAUUUACAGUCUCCUUUCAAACUGGCAAAGUCUUUCUCAUUGAUUACUUUGAAAAGAAGCAAGGAAUCUAUAACGAAACAGCAUCAGGUUGGCAAAAACUGGAAUUGGACAUUGAAUUAUUUCUUAACUCUAUCGAGGUCAAAACCACAAUCAAAGAUAUCAGAGAGUUUACAAGUGAAUGUAUAAAACAACGGGAUGAUAUAUGUUCCAAGUCAAAACCAGAGGAAGACAUUUAUCAGAAAUACCAUGGUAACGCCGAUUUAGUUAUCAAGAAGUAUCGGAAGAAACACACUGUCAUUGCGUACAUUCUACAAACACUUGAUCGGGAGGAAGAAGCAGAAGGAGAAGAACAUCAAGAAGAAGAUCAAGAAGAUGAAUCUGACCUGGUUUGUUGGGCUUGUCUUCCGUUUGGUGUAUAUUAUUGUCUUUUGUACCAUCUGAUCAAAUUCUUUAUGAAGCAUGUCAACGAAAGUCGAUGCAAUUACCACCGUGAACAUUUCAUUUAAGAAAUCGAGUGUAAAAAGUAUGCUGUGGGUCUCUAUUGAAAUGAGUGAGCUGGCUUUUGAGAAGACAAGACAAGACAAGGGCCCAAAGGUGGAGGUACAUUGGUUUUCCCAAGUUACGCAACUCAGCUAAUUGCGGUGCCUGAGAUGACUGAACCCACACACCUCCGUUUCUCUAUUUACGGCUAUGGUACAUAGAUUGCAUGUAAUUAUGCAUGUUUUAUUUAUUCUAACAUCUCUGUUUCUGAUUUAUGGCUUAUUUAUUCUAACAUCUAUGUUUCUGAUUUAUGGCUUAUUUAUUCUAACAUCUAUGUUUCUGAUUUAUGG